AGUCGUAACAAGGUUUCCGUAGGUGAACCUGCGGAAGGAUCAUUAGUGAUUUGCCUUCGGGCUAAACUAUAUCCAUAACACCUGUGAACUGUUGAUUGACUUCGGUCAAUAUUUUUACAAACAUUGUGUAAUGAACGUCAUGUUAUAAUAACAAAUAUAACUUUCAACAACGGAUCUCUUGGCUCUCGCAUCGAUGAAGAACGCAGCGAAAUGCGAUAAGUAAUGUGAAUUGCAGAAUUCAGUGAAUCAUCGAAUCUUUGAACGCAACUUGCGCUCUCUGGUAUUCCGGAGAGCAUGCCUGUUUGAGUGUCAUGAAAUCUCAACCAUUAGGGUUUCUUAAUGGCUUGGAUUUGGACGUUUGCCAGUCAAAUGGCUCGUCUUAAAAGAGUUAGUGAAUUUAACAUUUGUCUUCUGGCGUAAUAAGUUUCGCUGGGCUGAUAGUGUGAAGUUUGCUUCUAAUCGUCCGCAAGGACAAUUCUUGAACUCUGGCCUCAAAUCAGGUAGGACUACCCGCUGAACUUAAGCAUAUCAAUAAGCGGAGGAAAAGAAACUAACAAGGAUUCCCCUAGUAACGGCGAGUGAAGCGGGAAGAGCUCAAAUUUGUAAUCUGGCAGUCUUCGAUUGUCCGAGUUGUAAUCUAUAGAAGUGUUUUCCGUGCCGGACCAUGUCUAAGUCCCUUGGAAUAGGGUAUCA
rnacentral:misc_RNA from 1 species